CAGAGUUCAAGUAAAGUGUGAGUGUGGGGAAGCUGGAGCAGCGCACACUCACUUCAAAAAGCGUAAAAAAAACCUAAAAAAUCAACAAACAAUAAAAAAAGAACGCAACCAAGUUUUAGAAGAGGAUAAAAGAAUCUCAUUAAUUUUAUUUUUUAAGAAACAGCUCUAGCCAGGCCUCAGCCACGCUCCGGGAUUUGAUUCGGACAAACCUUACGAAGUUUCUGGAACAUAAGUAUUGGAAACGGUUGUCUUUUUAAAAAACAAAACCUGGGAUCCCACCUAGCUGACAAGUUUGAGCGUCUGAUAUCGGGGGGAGGGGGGGAGGAAAGCCUCGGCCGGCGCGACCGUUAUCUGGAAGCCGCGGCGUUCCGUUGGUGAGAGAACCCUCCCGGUGUUUGAAAGCCGUCGGGUUCUGAAGAUGAAUCAGACCGGUGCCAGCUACCCUAUGGCCUCGCUGUACGUCGGUGACCUCCACCCAGAUGUAACGGAGGCCAUGUUGUACGAGAAGUUCAGCCCGGCCGGGCCCGUGCUGUCCAUCAGGGUGUGCAGGGACAUGAUAACCAGGAGAUCGCUCGGCUACGCCUAUGUCAACUUCCAACAGCCUGCCGAUGCUGAACGGGCCUUGGAUACCAUGAACUUUGAUGUCAUCAAGGGGAGGCCAAUCCGCAUCAUGUGGUCACAGCGUGACCCAUCUCUGAGAAAGUCAGGAGUUGGCAAUGUAUUCAUCAAAAAUCUGGACAAGUCCAUUGACAACAAGGCUCUGUACGACACCUUCUCUGCAUUUGGAAACAUCUUGUCUUGUAAGGUGGUAUGUGAUGAAAAUGGUUCCAAGGGAUAUGCUUUUGUUCACUUUGAAACUCAGGAUGCUGCAGAUCGAGCAAUUGAGAAAAUGAAUGGCAUGUUGCUAAAUGAUCGGAAAGUAUUUGUUGGCCGUUUUAAGUCUCGUAAAGAGAGAGAGGCUGAACUGGGGGCAAAGGCUAAAGAAUUUACUAAUGUUUACAUAAAGAACUUUGGAGAUGAUAUGGAUGAUGAACGACUCAAAGAAAUGUUUGACAAAUUUGGCAAAACUCUCAGUGUCAAAGUCAUGACAGAUCCAAACGGAAAGUGCAAGGGUUUUGGCUUUGUUAGCUAUGAAAAACAUGAAGAUGCCUCCAAGGCUGUGGAAGAAAUGAAUGGGAAGGAACUGAAUGGAAAGAUGCUCUUCGUUGGCCGUGCCCAAAAGAAAGUGGAGCGGCAGGCUGAACUUAAAAGAAAAUUUGAACAGUUAAAACAGGAACGAAUCAGCAGAUACCAGGGUGUGAAUCUAUACAUCAAAAACUUGGAUGACACCAUCGAUGAUGAAAAGCUGAGAAAGGAGUUUGCUCCAUUUGGUUCAAUCACCAGUGCCAAGGUAAUGCUGGAGGAUGGCCGAAGCAAAGGUUUUGGUUUUGUCUGCUUCUCCUCUCCCGAAGAAGCCACGAAAGCUGUAACAGAAAUGAAUGGGCGUAUUGUUGGUUCCAAGCCGCUAUAUGUAGCCCUUGCUCAGAGAAAAGAGGAGCGCAAAGCUCACUUAACUAAUCAAUAUAUGCAGCGUAUUGCAGGGAUGCGUGCCAUGCCAGCCAAUACAAUUAUCAACCAGUUUCAGCCAGCCGCUGGAGGCUACUUUAUGCCAGCGGUGCCUCAGGCACAAAGCAGAGCUACCUAUUAUGCACCAAAUCAGAUGGCUCAGAUGAGACCCAGUACCCGUUGGCAACAGCAACAAACCAGGCCCCAAGGGUUUCAAGCCAUGCCAAAUACCCUUCGUCAGGGAGGACCUAGGCCUUCUCUUCGUCAUCUUACCCCAACAGCAAAUGCUCAGGGUUCUCGAGGUAUUCCUGGUGCACAAAGAAUGGGAUUAUCUGCAACUCAGAAUCUGGCGGCACAUCGCCCUGGAAUAGCUGGCCCAACACCAAGGGCAGUUCCACCUUACAAGUAUGCCUCCACAGUCCGGAACCCACAGCAGUCUGUCGUGCAAGCUCAAAUGGGUGUACAGCAGCCCUCACAGUCAGCAGUGCUGGUGCAAGGACAAGAACCCCUGACCGCCUCCAUGCUUGCUGCAGCUCCUCCUCAGGAACAGAAGCAGAUGCUAGGUGAACGCCUUUUUCCUUUGAUCCAGAGUAUGCAUCCUUCCCUAGCUGGAAAAAUCACCGGAAUGCUUCUAGAGAUAGAUAAUUCUGAGUUGCUACAUAUGUUGGAGUCUCCAGAAUCACUACGGUCAAAGGUUGAAGAAGCUGUAGCUGUGCUGCAGGCUCAUCAGGCUAAGAAAGAGGCUGCCCAGAAGGCAGCUGUCGUCGUAGCCACAUCCUAAAGCAGGACAAAGAUAUGUUAACGCUUAGGGGAAGGGUUACUGAAAGCUCACCACAGCUUCCUGAAAAGAACAUCAUAUCUUUUUAAUCUGGUUGGAUUUACUAAGCAGUUUUUAAGCAUGAUAAUUAAGAUUGCCAAGAAACAACAAAUCCACAAAUUUGGUUCAGAUAUAUUCAGGCUGGAUGCGUGGAUCGUGCUUAGCUUUAAGGGGAAAAAAAAUAACAAAAAAACAUUGCAAAAUUUCAAAUAACCAGAUUCCAAAAGAUUUUAAUGUACUUUAAGUAUUUAAAAGAAAUAUAUUUUGAUAGAUCAAACUAUAAUAUUACAAAGCAGAGCAAUACUCUGAUUUAUAGCUUGCUUUGUUUUAAAUAUGAAUAUCUGUGGCCAGGAUAGAUUUACUCAUAAAACCAAAUAUAGUGGAUGCUGAACAUGUGAAAUAAACCGAAAAUGACAGAAAUGUUCAAGUCCAGCAGCAUCUGCAAAGGGAGAAACAGCAUUAGAGUUUUGGGUCGAUGACCUAUAAUUUGGAAUUAUUUAUAUUUUUUCCUUCUUUUCGAAAGACAAAGUGAAAGGUACUAGAUAAAAGAAUGGAGUUAGAUUUUAACUUUGCAGUUAUAUUUUAUCAGUUGAGGUGUGUUUUCAUUUUAAAACUCAAGUUUUGCCCAAAUCUGGAAGUGUGUUUCUGAUUGGGGAAGAAAAAAAUAAAAAUGCUUUGU